rnacentral:rRNA from 1 species
GAUGAACGCUGGCGGCGUGCCUAACACAUGCAAGUCGAGCGAUUUACUUCGGUAAAGAGCGGCGGACGGGUGAGUAACGCGUGGGUAACCUGCCUCAUACACAUGGAUAACAUACCGAAAGGUAUGCUAAUACAAGAUGAUAUAAGAGAUUCGCAUGGAUUUCUAUCAAAGCUCCGGCGGUAUGAGAUGGACCCGCGUCUGAUUAGCUAGUUGGUAAGGUAACGGCUUACCAAGGCGACGAUCAGUAGCCGACCUGAGAGGGUGAUCGGCACAUUGGAACUGAGACACGGUCCAAACUCCUACGGGAGGCAGCAGUGGGGAAUAUUGCACAAAUGGGCGAAAGCCUGAUGCAGCAACGCCGCGUGAGCGAUGAAGGCC